UAUCAGUGUAACCUUAAGUUAGAGUACAUCGCCCCUCCCCUUGCAAAACCACCAGCAUCAGGCAAGCAGAGCAAAUGGCGUCGACCUCUCGGCGUAUGGUUGCGUCCGUUCUCUUCGUCGUUCUCCUCCUCGUCGCGACAGAGAUGGGGGCGACGAGGGUGGCGGAGGCGAGGCACGGGCACAGGCUCUGCGAGUCACAGAGCCACAGGUACCGCGGAGCGUGCUGGAGGGUUUGAUGCUAAAAGUUGGCAUGUCAAAUUUUGGCAAGUACCAAAUGUUGGCUAGAGAUUGGUUGCUUGCCAAUUUUCGCUGCCAAUCUCACAAAAAAUUGUCAAUUGUUGGCAACUUUUGAUUUUGCUAAAUGUUGGCUUGCCAAAUAUUGGCAAUGCUAAAUGUUGGUAGCAAACCAAUUAUACUCGAGAACUGCGCGCACGUCUGCAACACUGAGGGCUUUCCCUCGGGCAAGUGCAAGUUCCACGGCUUCGAAAGCAAGUGCUUCUGCAAGAAACCCUGCUAGCCACUUCAUCGGCCGAUGGAUCGGCUGGCUAGUUAGCCGCGCACCACGACCGCCCUCCUGUCUUCAGAGUGUUCCUCCCCUGUUCGUGUACCGCUUUCCUUAUUCCGAAUAAGCACUGCUAUACACACGAUAAAUCCAUGCACGAUCUGCGCACGACAACACAUCUACACCCUUGGGUUGCCUCGCUUUGUAAAUCUUUGUGGCCCAAAUCAUUUCGUGUGUGGAUCGUGCAUGCACAGUUCGUGUGCACAGCACUUCCGAUUCCGAAUCUAGUAAGGUCUACAUGCGUUGUGCAUGCCAUUUCCUUAUUAUACAAGUGUUUUGCUUCAUACGGUGUAAUCUAGCUAGGGUGCUAAUAAAAGUUGGCCGUCGGUGUGCUUGGACGUCUUUUAUCA